ACGAAGGGUGCAAGCGUUAAUCGGAAUUACUGGGCGUAAAGGGUGCGUAGGCGGUUCGUUAAGUCUGUCGUGAAAUCCCCGGGCUCAACCUGGGAAUGGCAGUGGAUACUGGAAAGCUGGAGUGCGGUAGAGGGUAGUGGAAUUCCCGGUGUAGCAGUGAAAUGCGUAGAGAUCGGGAGGAACACCAGUGGCGAAGGCGGCUACCUGGACAGAUACUGACACUGAGGCGCGAGAGCGUGGGGAGCAAACAGGA
rnacentral:rRNA from 1 species